AUCAAUAGCUGUUUCCCUCAUUCUCUCUUCUUUCCAAAAUCACUUCAAAGAAACCCUAAAACCAUUUGUCUGCGGUUCAAGCAACAAGGUAAUGUUAAGUCUUCCAUGCUCCAAUGAUUGUCGCCACACUUUGAUCGCUGCCACUUCCCCUUUAAUUUCGGCUGUUGUUGUAAAAGACGUGACUACCGGUGAUUAUAUCUUAAACGGCGGCGAAACUUACGAUUUGGCAGUUAUUGGUUAAGAUAAGAAAUUAGGGCACCGAUUGAAUACGAUGUCGUCUUCUUCUUACCGGAAUCAUUACACGAAUCCGAUGAGUUGAUAUUGAAUUUGACGUUUGAAGUUUCGGCAAAGCUUAAAUCUCAAAGAGAGCUUAUUGAUUGAUUAAACUCCGGAAGGCAAACCUCUAAAGGGUUCUUCUUUAUUUGAUGUUAGGGUUUGUGGGAUUAUACCAGAUUUUGACUUUCUUUUUCAAAAGUUUAAACAAGGUUCUUCUUUAUAUGAUGUUAGGUUUUGUGGGUGUUUCUUGAAUAUUAGAUAGAAAUAUAUGAGAAGGUUCGGAUUCCAUUUUGAUCUCGCCGUCAUCAAUCACGCAAUGAUUCCAGGUGAGCUAUGUUCGAGUUCUUAUUAACAAACACACUAACUAAAUCAAGUACAUCGAUGUUGAUGUCAACGAUUGUUCAAUCAAUGGAGAUGAAGGUAAGUUGUUCGUUGCAAUUUUUUGAAUUAUAUGACCCGGAUCUGGAUAUUUUCAAUUUCAAUGGCAUUUUCGUUUGAUUUUGGAAAUGAUUGUAGGUUUUGCUACAUUAAGCUGCGUUUUCAUUUGAAAUUUGAUCUUCAUUUUUUAUUGUAGCUUAAGUAAGUACAUUGGUAUUUAAUCGGGCUAUUUUGUAGCUUAAGUGAGAAACCAUGUUACAAAAUACCUUUAUUUAUGUGACUUGAAACUCGCUGAUCUUUUCCGUUACUGUUCUAAUAUCCCAGUUUUGAAAAGUCUAAAAGUGAAUAGAAGCUGUGUAAAUCCUAACGUUUUCGUGAAGAACUAUGAAUGAAUAAGUCUCUAAUGUACGCCGAUUAGAAUGAUUAUGUACGUCUCAUCUUCUCUCUAUUUGUAAUUGUUACUGUUUUUAGGGUUAUUUUAUGUUAGUUUGAUCUUAAUUAGGAGAAUAUUGUUAGUUUGUGUAAUUUGUAUGUUAGUUGAAAGUGAUGAUGAUUAAAGAAUAAUGAUGUUAACUCAAAAGGGGAGAGCACUAAGGAAAACAUGGUGAGCAUCCAUAAAUUUUUAUUCAGUUUGGUGCAACAGUUUUAUUUAUUCUUUAAUUUUUGCUAUUGUUUAUAAAUAAGAAAUAUUAAUUACAUUAUAUUAGGUUGGAGUGGUUGAUGAAAUUUGUAAAGCUACUGUUUAUAAAUAGGGUUAUUAAAUCUAUAUUGUCUCAUAAGCAGCCAUGUUUGUGAUGUUCCAGCUAAAAUGAUGAGCCAAACAAGUUGGACGAAAAGCUUAAGACAAUUGAAUCUCUUUUGGAAAGAAAGGUAUCUAUACCACGAAAUCAGCCUCUUCAUGGUUGACAAUUUGCCAUUGCAUCUCAUAUUGAAGUUUCAACUGAUAACCCAACACCCGUGUAGCGUCAUUAUUGCCUCUCUUAUUUGUUUUUUGUUCGGCUAUUGAGGUAACGAUUUUGCUCCUUUGCUAAGUUCUUAAUAUAACCACUUUGGCCACAUUUCCACCUUUUCUUUGUUAAUUGCAUUCUUUGUGUUAGCCAUAAACCCUAAUUUGUUGUCGCCAUUGUUUAUUUGGAGUUCAUUAACAUCUUUCUAUUAAGGAUCGAUUCGCCUAUCUUCGUUCAAAUUGCCGUCUCAGUCCCUUCAAAUUUCUCAUCUGCUUCGGUUGGUUGCGUAUGGCCAACUGUAAAGACAUUUGUCAAUGGCAGAGCAUUCGGUAUGCUUGAUACCUGUGCCAUCCAACCAAUCGAUAUGAGCACAGUAUGUUUAUAUAUAAUGUAAAAUUUGCAUUUCAAGUUCUUGAUAUGAUUAGUUUCUAAAGACUCUUUAGAUCUGUAAAAUCUGUAUUUCAAGUUCUUGAUACGAUUAGAAGUUCAUAUUACUAAAUUCAGUUUAUUAUGUGCAUACCAUAUGCUCGAUGAAAUGUCUGUGAUAGAAUGUGAUGUGAUUUUGGUAUUAAAAAAUCUUGAAGCACACUUUAUGUCUAUACAUAUAUUGCUAUGAUUUUGCAGCACCUUUGCAGAUAUCUUUAUGUGUUUGGUACUUGAAAAUUUGCUCUUGUGGUGAUAGUGAGUAAUGCUAUUGUUCCAGAUGUGAAUGGUGGUGUUGAUGAGAGGCAACCAAAGGAACCAAAAUGUGUAGAAACAAAUGAGUCUAACUAUGAAGAAGUCAUAAAAAGCAAGUCUGUUGAUCAAUUAAUCGAGGCUGAACUUAACGAGUUGAAAUGCAAAACCAAGUGAUCCAAACAACAAGCAUAAGGUAUUAGUUCAUGUUAUCAUCUUAAGUAGCUUAUGUGAGAGGGAACCACCUUCAAGAAGUCCAAAACCGGGAGGUGACAGGAAAUGUGUUUUUUUAUCACACUGAUAAUCAACGCUACAUACAACGAGCAUUGCUUAUGGAUUUGGAACCCAGAGUUUAUUUUAUGCCAUUCAAUUGCGGAGGAACUAGCUCAUGUAGUAUUUCAAGGAUCAUAUCUUUCAUUUUAUUCAUUUGAAAGUUACAGUUUAUUUCGGUCUGAUUUUUAUCCCAACAUCAUUCAUUAUAUGUAUAGUCUGCUGUGAUUUUUCAAACGGGACAUGGAAUGGCGGGAGACCUUUAAGUUUGUGUAUUAUAUAUCACAUUGUCGUCGUCGCCGCUAAGUCGCUAACUUACGUAUAAGUAAUUCGCGAGGGGGAUUGUUCAGUUUGGAGAGGUUUAUGAGAGAACGGAGAAUAGGGCGUAUGAGGAAUUGGCGAGGGCGGUUGUUAUGUUUGGAGAGGUUUAUGAGAGGAUGAAGCAAGAGAAGAGGAGAUGGUGAGGUUGAAGAAGCAGAGGAUGGAAUUUACUAAAGAGCUUGAGUUUCAUAGGUUGAACAUGUUUAUGGAAACUCAGGUUGCGCUUGAAAAAAAAAUGAAAAAUAAGAACAAGAGAUCAUCUGCUACAGGUUCCUUGGGUCCAGAGAGAGAGGGAAAUGAAGAAUCGGGUAGAGAGAGAGACUGAAAGCUGAUGGGGCCCUAUGACAGGGUUCAGUGGUAUGUUCCGGCGACCAUGGUGACCUGAACCCUAACACUCGGAUAAUAUCUCUUCGUUGUGCAUUCUUCGCCGAAGUCCAUGGCUUAUGUCGUCAAAUAUGCUUGGACAGUACAAUCAUGUCUCUUUUCCGUCUAUAUAGAAUCUUCAACUACGUGUUUUGCCUGUUCGUUUGCCCUAGCUAGAUUUAGUCGCAUGCACUCAUAUUUUCCUGUAGUAGCGUAUUUGCUUGGAUUUAUAAACUGAGCCGUUUAAUGUCUGAAAUUGACUGGUUUCUGAGGAGAUGAUAUUGAUAGGGACUCUAUAUUUGAAUGAGUGGAGCUGUUCAGUGGUUGUUUUUGUGGAUUGUUCGUAACCUUGAUGGUAUUGAUGGUGGCGACAGAGGUUGUAAAUAGGGUUCCGGUCACCCUUAGGCAAAAUCGCCCACCAUAGGGGGCAAUUGCGGUGAGUAUGAUGUUCCCAUUAGGAUACGCAUAUGCAAGUUGUUGUUGCCUAUGGGUUUCAGGUGAAAAAAAGCAGGUCAAUUUAACACAAGAACUUGUAGCAUUAUCUGGUGCACAUACUCUUGGAAGCAAAGGCUUUGGAAAUCCAGUUAUUUUUAAUAAUGCAUAUUAUAAAGUACAGUUGGAGAAGCCAUGUCUAUCUUCAGGUUUGUCACAUGCUUUUGGCUUAAAAACAAUGUUAACAUUUCUUAAAGCCAAAACUUAUUGUAGUGCUUAUAUUUUUUUUAUAUUUUUAUGUAUACAACUGGAAUGACUUGUGGAUUGUAAGUAGGGUUCUGGUCAACCUUUGCCAAAAUCACCCACCAUAGGUAUGCUUCCUAGAUUUGUUUUGAUUGCGUGUUUUGUUUUACUUUUGUGAUAUUUUUUUAACCGAUUGUGACCCAAAUCGUUUUGACAGUGGUUGUUUUUGUGGUAAAAAUUGUUGGAUUUUAUAGAAUUUUAAUGCUUUUAAUAUAUAGUUGGAAAUAAGAUGAGAAAAGUUUUACUUUGAGAUGUCAGAAUUGUUGUUUUGACUUCAUGAUCUUUAACUCAAUACAAGUAGUUUAAAGUGUUGGAUCUCUGGUUGUUGGGAAGUUAUAUUUUGUUUUGUUUUUUUAUAGUUAAUUGGAGAUCAUGCAAGGUAGACGACUGGUAUUUAAUAUUUAUGGGGCAUUUUUUUGUAUAUGUCUUACAAAUGCAGUAAACAGGUCGAAAUGACCAUCCCGACAAGUUUAUACAAAUGGAGGGCUGCCAUUGAACCAUUGUGAUGGUUUAUAAAUUGACUGUCCACUUUAAUCUACCCUAUAACUAGCUUCUUACACUACAAAAAAAUUAGAAUUUUUUGGUAAAACUAAAACUAUGACCCCUCGACCCCAAUAAAGCUCCGCCCUUGGUUUUGUGGCAUGUAUAUGUGAUUCUCACUAGAGAUACAAAGAUCGAACAGUGAAAAUGUUUCUAGAGAGAAUUUGUUUAUCUUAUUUGAUUAUUAUUAAAGAGUGUUUUAGAGUAAUUCUUAGGAUUAUUUCUUGAGAUACACAUAUCUUUGUCUAAACUAAGAUAAAUACCAAACUCAAGUUUUUGACAUAUUUAAUAAAGUUGAAUCAGUAGUCAGGGAGAACUUUGUUUACUUUUAGGUCAUCCUUUUGUAUAUAUUGCACUAAUCCUCUCAUUGAGGAUCAUUUGAGUCUUAAUACAACACACUCAAAUUCCUUUCGAAACAAGUCAAAGAGAUCUGCAUAAUGUGUUCAUGUUUGACCUCAAAAGUCAAAACCUGCAUGUAUUUUUCUCUUCAAAGAUAUAGAUUUGUAUAAUCUAAUCAUAUUUAAACAAUUAAUUGAUAUAAAGUGUUUUCUACUAAAUAUGUGUGCUAGAAAAUAGGCUUAACAGACAAAACUGUAGAGCCUAAAUAGCAAAAUAUUGCCAUGAAAAUUAAAAAAGAAGUUAGAGGAUCGUAAUCUGAAUUACUAUCCAUAAUCAAUAACCAUAUUGUAACUUAAAAAUUAGCGUCUUUAUAUUACAACGCUAUAAAUUCUUCACUCCGUCAAUAUAAUCUCUUUUUUAUGUCUGACAGGUAAUCAUGCAAUUAUCCUAUGGGGGAGAGGGUGGAGUUUCUGUUUAUAUAUAUAUUUUUAAUUUACUUUUAUGUUUGCAGGAAGUGCUCCCCUGACUGUAGUUCAGCUGCUACUAUGGGUAAAUAUGAUAAUGGGUACACUGGGAGCACUUGCAUUUGCCACUGAACCUUCUACCAAUGAAUUGAUGGAACGGCAAUUGGUCCGAAGAAAUGGAAAAAAAAAAAAAGAAAACAGCCGGUGAUGGGUCAAAAGAGAGUAAUGUUCUCUUUGGCUUUACAAAUAAAAGUACGAUGCCGAGAACAGUCUCUUUUGUAACCUUGAACAAGGUUGGUGGAUUUCUACAAUCUAUGGAUCUUGCACACUUUAUGCUUUUGGAAAGAUGUUGGUCAUUGGAAACGAGCCAUUAUUCAAGGUUUAAUGACAUAUUGAAUAGGAUCUACCUUUUUUAACUUUUGUCGGUCUUUGUUUCCCCCAUGACAUUCGAUUUUCACCUAAAUAAAUGUAUAAACAAAUAUUGUGUGUAUAUAUAUUUAUAAUUUUAGAGCUUAGAUCAGGUUGCUCAA